rnacentral:lncRNA from 1 species
GUACGGGGCGUCGUGUUGUAUAUUUUGAAACCACUGAGGGUUUUUUUGUGUAUUAGGUUUACCACAUAGGGUUUUUUUGUAUUUUACCCUAUAUUUUAGUAACCCCAUGCUAAUAUGAUAUCUAGUCACUGACAAAGAUAUAAGCAAGUAGAGAUUUAUAGACAAGAAGUCUCUACUUUAGAAACAGAACAUCUAGCUUAAAAACAAAACAUAUACAUAUACAUAUAUAUAUAUAUAUAUAUAUAUAUAAAUAUGAAUGAGAUUAAUUUCUAGUUCUAAACCAGCCCUAUCCCUAAUCGUUAAGCUCAAAUGCUAGACAUGGUUUGUCAAAGGUAGCAAGCACAAAUAACUGAAAAGCUUGUUGCAUUUGGAGCCACAAAUUUCAAUUGCUCAAGCAGCAAAUAAGUUUCCAAAUAAUUGAAGAAACUAAGCUAAUCCCCCAUAUGUCACUUGUAUCAAGCAGCAAUUUGCUGUUUGAUCAUGAAUACAAUAAUUGACAUAUCAAUGAUUUCAUCAACGAGAAUAUUUAUUGCAAACAGCUAAGCAUACCUCCUUUAAACUUCAACUAAAGAAACAGGAGGAUUGUAACCCACAGCUUCUAGCAAACACCAUUUUCCCAAAAAAAAAAAAAAAAAACCCUUAGAACACAUAGUAUAACUUAAACGUAUACCUUAAAAUUCCCAAAAAUUAAUCAUAUUGCAGAAACCUAGGUGUACUUGCAGAAAAAUGGAAUACAUUCCAACAUAAAUGGGAUGGCAAGAAAUUUGGGUGGGGAACAAAAAGACAAAAGCGGCAUAUUGCAGGAUACUGUUCUAAGCAGACAAAUGGGCCAAAAUUCACAGAUAAGUGAGGCCCCUUGGAGCCCACUCUACAUCAAUCCAACAAGUCACAACAGUUCCAAGGGUAGAAGCCCAUAAGUUAACCAAAGCAAAAACAUUUUUUGUCUUGUCGACAUUUUGUAACAUGAAAUGCACCCACAUGUUGGGCUUGGGUCCUUUUUUGUUUUUCCAUGAAUUCAACAUAAUUUCAACGUUUCCAGCGUCUCCAUCUUCUUAGAUAGGACGCUUACAAGAAUAUUAUCAAGAUCAAUGUUGUAUUAAAUUUCAAUGUCAUAGUACUCGAUGUUGCUCUAUUUUAGUACAAUUUUACAUGCAGAUUACUAUAAAUUUUGAAAACCAUUUCCAUUGAAAAGAGAGAUACUUUUUAAAAUUAAGCGCACACACGUAGAAUGAGUUAAAAUGACUUGUGUUGGUAAUUACUAUGCAGAUCCAAACCUCCCAAAUUUAUGACAAUUUGUUCAUUUUAUUUUGUUUUUCUUAAGUACAAUUGUACAGUUAACAAUAUUUGUUUCACACUUGUAGUACAAUUGGUAACUAGUAUUGCGAUUGUAAACCUUGGAAUAUUUGUUCUUGUUUUAAGAAUUUAGCAAAUAAUGUUUCAGACUUAUUUGAGAUGAGGAAAAGUAUAUGAGUGUGUUUGGAUACAAGUUUUUUUUUUUUUUUUGCCAAAUUUUAUUUUUUUACAUCAUAAAUAUAUCUUUUAAUUAUAUUUUAAUACUAUGAAUCGUCUUUCUGUCUCACAUACAUCAUAUCACAAAAAAAUAUUAUAAAAUUAUUACAAGUAAAUUUUGCAAAUAAUCUCCUAUCCAAACAAGCCCAAUGGGUGUAUUCGUAGUUUGCUAGAAUUUAAAAGGCCACAACUUUGAGAAGACCCAUUAACUAAUUAAUAUUAGUGAUCGAUUGUGGGGUUGUAAUCUCCUAUUUGUAAAAUUGGGGAUCUCCUGUAAUGGCUCGGCCUGUCAAUCGGGCCUAAUGAGUCGGGCUUUGAUGAGUUCAACCUCAACUCAUUUAAUUUGAAACAUUUUCGGGCUUCAGGUUAUGAGUUUCGGGUUCGUAAAUAUGAAGCUCAUACUCAACUCACAAAAUAUUCGGGUUGUGAGCCUUAAUCGGGUUUAGCCCAAGCUCACUUUUUACUCCUUAAUUUUCUUAAUAUAAUUACUAUAACUAUUAUGUUGUAAAACUAAUUUAACAUUUACAAGACUAUAAUAUUAAAACUAAACAUGAACAAAUAAUAGUUCUUAAAAAGUAUAUAAACCAAAAAAUUUUUCAACAAUAUUUAUAUUUAAUCCAUUUAAAAUGCAUGAAAAAUAGUAAUAAAAUAUGCGAUCAUAAGCCAAUACAUCUUUAAAAGUUGAAACUUUUUUUAUAAUCUUGUGAUUUAAAUCCAAAUAUGUUUGAUGAUUUUUGUGUUUGUAGACCAAAAAAAAAUCAACCAAUAAUAUGCUAAUACAAAAAUUUACUCAACCAAUAAGAAAAAUUAGAGAUUAGUUAUGCAUUAUUAAUAUUGGCUCUCAAGAAAGAUCAUGAAAGAGUCUUUAGAUGUAUUUUUAUGUUUUGUAAUUUAUAUAUAUAUUUAAUAUUAGUAAAAAUAUAUUUGGAUAUAUAAUUAUACAUAAUAUCAAAAUAUAAAUAUUAUAUAUAUAGAUAAUUAAAGGGUCGGGCCUAUAUCGGAUUUGAGUCUAAUAAGGCCCAAGCUCGGCUCACAUUUAAUUCGGGCUUAAUUUUUAGGCUCAAGCUCAGACCGGCUCACUAAAUGAUCGGACUUAUCGGGCUUUCUGUCGGGCCGAACGAGCCGAGCUCGAGCUGGCCCAGCCCCAUUGAGAGUCCUACUCUUCUCAGAGCUGGAGAUCAUAUGCCCCACUAUUCAGCUUGGAGCUUGGAGGUCUUUGUAAUCCAUGACCUGCUGUCCUCUAUUAAUUUCUGACUACAAAACUUGAACCCCUAAAGUCAUGGAUGAUAUCUACUCACCCAAACGAGCUAUAAUGUUUCUUGUAUUGACCGUACACCACAUGAUAGUGCUUUUUCUAGAAACAAAACAAGAACUCUUAGUAACACAUCUGGAUAAUAAAAACAUAUACCCUGGAAAAAAAAACACUAAUGGGUCAACACAUAGAGAUGAAGGUUGAAUAUUAUUUGGAAAGAAUUUUAAAAGUCUGAUAUUGUAUCAGUUUUCUCUGAUGUGAAGUAUGUAAAAUAAAAAGGUAGAUUAAAAGAUGUUUAAAAAAGAAAAAAGACUAGUAAAUGUGUUUAUGAUUUAACAUAAGAAAUGUUUUCAAAUUACUCUCAAUACAAACAUGUCGAUUUCUUCUUAUUUAAGCAAUUUUCCCCCUUCUGUUUUGGUACCAUGCAUACUGAGAGCAUAUCUAUUGGAGGAAGUCAGGAGAAACUACAGAUAGCCGACGUCAAAACAUUGUUGCAGGAGAAAGUAAGCAAUUGCUUUGGAAGUAAUCAAAGAUUUGUUUCUGAUAGCCAAAGUUUUAGUAUUUACUUUUCAAGCUAGAGACAGACGGGUUUCUCCUUUCUGGAGGAUAGGAUCAUAGGAAGUUGGGACUGGAAUUUGGGGACGACCUGGGCAUUAGUCUACCCAUUACUCGGAUUUGCAUCCCAAAUAUGAAGUGAUAAGCAGCCACAUUACUGUGUUUCUUAAUCAUACGUUGACUACAGCUCAUCAUCAUCAUCAUCAUCAUCUAGUCAAUAAUACAAGAUGAAUAUUUUAAGGAUCCUUCUAUUCUCAUCUAGUGAAUAAUACAAGACUAAUAUUUUAAAGCAUCCUUCUCUUCUUUGCACCGGGGACUUAUAGAAUUAAAGAUGGUUUUCAAGUUUUUUUUUUUUUUUUUUGAAGUACAAGUGUAGUUUUGUUCUCAAAAAGGGCAUACAAUAUUACAAUAGUCGAUGAAUGGUUGGUUUGCUGGUUAGGGUUAAGAUUCUAAAAUUAAAAGUUCUAAAUUCAAAUUUUUUUCCCCUCUCCAUUUCUUAAAUCUCACGCCUCUUUGUGAACAAAAAUAUUUUGCAGUAGACUUGCUUUUGGUGUAUAAAGUCCUGUGCCCUAAUAGAAAUUUUAAAAAAAAAACAACAUAUUAUUUGUCUAUUCAUUGAUUAAAUUUCAAUUUGUAGGGAGAUACUGUCUAAGGAUUCUGAUCAAGCACACAUAUACGAAAAGGAAUGCGUGUAUCCAGACUGAGGUGGACAUUGAAGUAAAAAACCAGUGGUGCAAAGCAGUCCUUGGAGGCAAACAGCCUUCACAGCCGCACAAUCUAUGUACAUACUAAUAUUCUAAUGCUGGAGAUGGCAACCCUCCAUCUGCCCUUGGAAUAAAAUUUGGAAUAAUGAAUAUAUCUGCGUCAAGCAAUGACGCAAUCUGCUUCAACCGUUGCUUAAAUUAAAUGUCUACACACAAUCAAUAAUUAUAAGUAAUUAAUUAAGACGCUAUGAUAUGGGUUUUUUUGUGGUCAAUACUUAAAGAAGCGGACAUACUCUGAAUUCAUGUUCUUAAUGGAAAGCUCAAAUUCAAAUUCUUUGACUUGUCAUGUUCUUAUGUGUGUUUUUUUCCCUUUUUGUUUUGUGCCAAUGGGUGAUUCCUUGCCAUUAUUUUAACUUUUGUCUGCACCAACCUAAUUAACGUCUUUGAUGUAUGGUUUAGUGUAUUAAUCUUGAAUUGUAGUUAUCAUAGUUUGGAAAAAAGGACUCCCUAUUUAAGUGGAUUGGCUUAAGAGAUAUUGCUAGAAGAUCCCACAAAAGGGAAAAAAAAUGUAUAUUUAAAUCAAAGUUUGGCAAUUAGAAAUCAUUUUUUGCAUUCUCAAAGUCAAAUGUUGGUGAUUAACUGGUAGGAUUUUCCUUUAAAUUCAAAAGAUGCUGGAAUGAACACGUCAUAUUAUCCAUUUACAUCAAUCCUAAACUAAUGUCUAGGGAAUCAAAUUUCUUUCAUUCUUUCUUCGAGUCAUUGCUUCCACCAGAUGGAGAAGUUGGCAGAACAGAGCUUUGUCCACCAACACCAGGAGCUCCAUGUACUCCAUUGCUGGAUUGGACCAGCGUUGGCUGUAUGUGAACAACAAUUUGAACAAGUGAUGACACAACCUGGGAUGCAGAUAUGGGAAGAGAUAAUAUUUCUAUCACUGCUGUUUCAAGUAUCAGCUGCGUAUAUGUCCCAGGAUCUUGGAUUUGAUAGAAUGCUUUCUGGCCUUCAGAUGCAUUUGUUUGCCCAGGCUGUGCAGCUGCUUGAGUUUUAUUAUGUUGCAUCCUGGCAGAACUAAUGGAGACAUCUCCAGCAGGUCCAAGCUUUGAAGAGUUACUCAGAGGAGGAAUUACAUGAUUCGCCAGACCCAAUAACAGAGUGGCAAAGUAAUCCAGUGGUGGACAAAUAGAAGCAUUUGCUGAAUUAAUAUGCUGGGGAAAGGAUUCAGAAAAUGGAAUCUGAAAGUAUUACCGUUGCAGAGUUAGAGGAAGACUAAAGGAAGAAAUCAAAGAAAAAAUGAAAUAUCAUUACCUUCUUGACAUCUAACACACUCAAUAUCCGCAGGAUAAGCUUCCCAGGAAGAUGACCAUAGAAAUAUGCAAGUAUAUCACGAACAAAUGUGAAAUUUAAAGGAUAAUAAUGCAAGAAUAGAUUAUACAGCUGCAGAACUCUGUCAGCUGCAUCUAUAGCAUCGUUUUCAAUCAGUCUAUAUAUGAUUAGCGGAAUCACUGGUAGCAAACGUGCAGCAAUAUCAUCAAAAAAUGUGGGAAAUCUGCAAAGAAGAGUAGAGCCAUUACAAACCUUAGUCUACAAAUCCACUUGAAAUUACUAGCAUAAAGAAAUAGGAAGAAAUUGAAAUGCAAUACUGAAAAAAUAGUUAAGUGGGUUCGAAAUGACAUGAUAUCACUAAUCUGAUCAGCAGAUUCUGGUUGAAGCUGAUGGUAAAAAGACUAGGUUCACCAUAGUCAAUCCUUUACAACAUUCCCCAAAUGGGUGAAUAUCUAGGUUGGCUAGCUUAAAUUUGCGUAAUGCAAAUGCAUCAUGAAACUUGUGAUUGUACAAUCUAGAGUAACUUUUCCAGUUGACAUGAAGUUCAUCAUUAAUGUUGAUGAAUCCGCUGAGGUUUUACUUUAAUCAUUAGCUAUAAGUCUCACACUCUUACUUGAUUCACUUCCAACCCAGUCACAGAAUCUAGAGCUUAGCACCUUCAGCAACUAACAAUAAUGUCUCUCAGAGUAAAAGCUUCACCUUUCCUUCCAAGAGAGAUGAUUCCCUAGAGCUUUUUGCAAUUCAACACGCUUGAAAGUCCCGCUAAGAAGCCAAUGCUCAGGCUGGCCACGAUUCAUACUGUACAAUUUUACCCUCUGCUGGAGCUCUUUACUUUCCAGUAGACUCAUCUGAUUGCAUUAACACAAACAAUCGAAAAAGGGAAAAAAUUAAGUGAGGUUGUAAAUGGUUUUUCAUCCAGCAUUCUAUGAGUAAUCUGACAUAUAGAACCCAUUUAAAAUAAUUAACUUCCUUUGAGACAAAAUCAGAUUUGUUUAUGAAGAUUUCCAACAGCUUUUGAUGGAGAGGACCUGAUUCUCACAUUUAAGAGUAUAGUUUCUUCCUUUUCCUUUGACUAGAAAUUUACUUUGACAUACCAUCACAAGCAACAUCAUGACUAGUACAACUAGAAUACAAGUCAAGAUGAGUUCUGAACCAACAUCCCAAGAGCCACAGGAAAGUUGCCAUUGGCAGAAUUCAGGCAUUCUUGCACAGGCAAGAACAGAUUCUUCGGAAAACAGAGCCAGCAGGAGGAAAAAAAAUUAACAAUCUUGUCCCAGACCUUUCACUAACACCAACACGUUAAACUUUUAGUGGUCCCUCUUACAAUUAUGACUACUGCAGUGAAAUUUAAACGGAACAGGAAACUCAGCACACAAAUGCCAAUUUCAUUACAAGUGUUAGUGGCUGAUCUCCAUCAUCAUUUUUUAUUCAAACAGCAAAAAAAGGCAUAUAAGACAAACUAGAAUGGUGGGAGAUGAGUAAGAGCAACUUGAGACAGUCCAAGUUCUUGAACGAAACCAUUUGGUGAAGAGGUGCAGUUCAAACCAUGAAAGUAGCAGUGUAUGAAAAAGUUGGACCUAGAGGAAAGUGACUAAAAAAAUCCAAGGACUCAGACAGUCUGGUAGAUGAACAGUAUUAAAGUACGAGAGAAAUGAAAAAAUAUGCUUUAUCUAAAAGAAGAGAUGGUGGAAGUCUCCAGAUGGAUGGAAGUUCAUCACAUCCACUUAUGUAAAUCAUUUAACUGGAUUGGAUGGGGUAAAAGUUCAUUACAUUUGUCUUUGUAAUUAAUCUUCCCCCAUUCAAUGGAAUCAAUCUUCUGCAUUUUUUAAAAAAAAUGGUGGAAGUGUCUCCUUUAAUCAGAAUCAGCUGCCUUCAGAAGUCAAAAUUACAAUAUAAAUUUUUUUUUUUUUUAGAAGUUCCAGGAAGAAACAGUUUAAAACUAAAAGCAAAGAGAAGAAACUAAAAAUGUUAUUCCAGUAAAAGAAGAGUAACAUAGGCCUUGAACAUUGAAUUCUAUUCAACUAGGCCAUAUGCACACGUCCGUCUCCAAAGGAAUUAACCAGAACCAGGUGACAUCACAUAAGGAGUUAUUCACCUAUCUUGGCAUUAAAGUCAUCAAAACUUUCAGUCCAAAGUAUAACUUCACAUGUUCAGCACAGUGUGUUUAAAGCUAUAGUACCUGAUCCAGAUUCACCUUUUUAUUGAGUUAAAGAAUGUUAACCCAACAAUAUGUUCAUCCCUAUAAAAACAUUUCUCAGGAAUACAACUUGAAUUAGCUCUAUAACUAAGCCAAGACAGAAAUCAUAAACUAUUAUUGAUUCAAGUUGGCUAAUGACAGAAAUCAUAGAAUGAGAAGUCACAUCACCAUAAGUUAUAGUAUGUUGCCAAUUAUGAGCUCUAGUUUUACCCAAAAAUGGAUAUCUAAACCAGAUUAGUCACAAAAAUAAACAUCAAUACUCGAGAGCAAAAUAUCAUCCCAUAUCCUUAGUAACCGCCACUGUCAAUGUCAUGGCUCGAUAUACAAAUCAGAAUGGUCAUCUAGCAAAUCCAAUCCAUAUCAUGAUAUACAUACACAGAAACAUGUAAAUGCAUCAUUUAGUAGUCAGAGUAUGUUGACAGACAAACAUACCACAAUCCGCAGAGAAUGUGGAUCAUCAUCACGGUCUAUAAGCGCCAACAACAAAAUGUCCAGAGGCAGUAGCUCAUGGGUCCAAAUAAAAAAAGAAAGGUUUGCACAAGCUUUUAGCAUAAGAUCCUGAAGGAGGAAAAAUGGAAAAUUAAGCUCAUUGAGUAAAAAUUUGCAUCGCCAACAGAAAAAUGUCAACGGAAAAGAUGAUGAAAAUAAAGCGAAGCAAGCUGAUAGAAAAACCUGUGGGGAAUGUCCACGCUGUAGUUCCAAGUGAAUGUGAUGCAGUAGCACAUCCACCAUUGUGUAUAUAUUUGCAGUUACUUCUUCUGGAGAAAAUUCUCUUAAGACACGUCCCUGCAUUCCUUAGUAUGUGUUAAAUGGAGAAGAUUUAAUCAUAAUAGGAAAUACUGCCCAUAUGAAUGCUAAAAUUCUCCAUCUUAACCAGAAUGAUGGAUCUAGAAAGGGAGCUAUGUCUUACAAGAUUAGCACUGUUAAUGCUCUCAGGAUGUCCAUGCAUCAGCACCCAAGCACCAGCACACAGGUAUUGACGAUGUUGAGGGAAGCUAUGGCUUAUGUAAGUAACGACAUAGGAAGGAUCAGCUGACGGUGAAAGAAGCUGAGUGCAUUGGUUAAUCACUGUAGUUUCGGCCUGCCAAUAUUGAAUUUAAGUAUCAAGUCCCAGGAUCCAACAAAAAGAUAUAACUAUAUAUCUCUUACCUGUAUGUACUGGAUUUUAGUUGACAUUUUAGCCCAGAAAUUCAAAAUUCUAAAUAUGCAGUCAAUGAUGCAGUUUCACUGUUAGAUUCAAGCACAAAACUGUUGGCUUGGAAUUUAAAGAUAAUGUCAGCUCAGACCCUUUUUUAUCCUGUCUGGCACUUAAAAACUUAUAAUACGUUGAAAAUACUUAUUUAGUGUCCUCCAAACUUGAACACUGGAUUAUCACUUCAACCAAUUGCAAGUGUAACAACAGCUGCAAGUGGGGCAUGAAAAAAUAUUUAAUAUUUAUUUGUUAAACAAGUAAAACACAGAGGAGGAAUUACAUUAAGUAAAGAGUCGAACAAGAAAUAUAAGACUUUGUUUCAUGUAAAUGGGCUUGAUGACAUAAAAACUUGCAACAGCAUUGGAAUGCUGCAAAAUAUUCCUAAAACAAUGCCCAUCCCACCUCAUUGAUGUUGGGGGGGAUUAAUUGUGUUUGACAAGGAUCAUUUCUUUUGUCUUAAUUUUACUAGACGCCAACUUGUUAGCAUGCUUUACAGGAGGAGAUAACCAUAAAACUUUGAGAAGCCAUAAUUUCACCAUGAAGUAGUUGUGCCUUGUUCCAACCUCCUAUCCCAAAUUCACAAAGCAAUCUGUUCCAGGAGAGAAUUCAUUGAAUGCCGAGACUAGUCUAACUAAAUUCAGAAACAAAUGAAAAUUUAACAGCAGCAUAAGGGACACAAAAUAGUAACUUUUAUGGAAAGGUUUUCAUCAGUAAGGUGGAACCACUGCCAAAUGCAACACAUACACUGUCAUAUAGCCUGUAAAAUUAAAGGAAGGAGGAAAGAUGCAGUUUACCUGCUGCCAUGCUUGGAUUGCAAGGCCUCUUUUAUCCAUCCUCCCGGCCAAGGCAUCACGUAGGACAGAUGGAAAAUAACGCAAAGUCUUCUCAGACCAAGCAUGCUGACUAGUUGCCAAUAUUUGCUCCAACAUUGUUGGAAGAUAUAGCAAAUGAUCGAAGUCUGUAAUGCCACGUGUUUUAAUAAUGAUCGCCAAACUAGUUAUUGCUAUUCGGUUUAAAGUUUCGGUAAAGUCGGUUGGACCCUGCAUAAGCUUACGUAGUGAAAUUAAGUUUUCCUUUAGCAAAAAAAAUUAUGAAAUCACUCAGAGCCAUAAUUCUUACCUUCCCUUCCCUCUUCACAAGAAAAAACUCCUUCAAUGAUAAGAGCAGAUUCAUGCACAAAUUUUCCCCCAAUCUGAAAAUGCGAUGAUCUCCACGUUUCCCUUUUAGCGAAGAAAUCAUUUUUGUGAUGUCAUACAUCAAAUUUUUGCUCUUCCCUUGGUACCUGAAGAAUUAAACAAUGAAAUUUUUUCCUCAUCACCAUUUAAAUGGAUUUACUCUGAGAAGCUCAACCAGUGGUAAUCUAAACCAGCCCAGAGUUUGGAUCGAGAGAAGAAAUAUUCCAUUAUCAUGAUGAAUGUCAGCCUAUUAUCUAUUAUUUUUUUUAUAAUCUAUUAGUUUUAGUACAGUAAAGUCUUCUAGUUUCUUAUAAGUAGCGCCAGUACAGAAAGGAAAAUUGCUACCAAUCAAAAGAAGAAAACAGAAUUAUACACAGGCUGCUUAAUCACCUGUAAAGUGAAAGAAGGCGGUAGUUCAUAAUCUCAAACAACAGAAUGGAAGCACCAGGCUUUGUCAAAGUAGCAGUGUUCCUUUGAGUCAAAUGCUGUACUUGGCACAAAAAAAAUGAAAUGGUAAGUUAUAUAAGAAACUGGGGGAAGAAAAAAGAAAGAAACAGAGAGAAUGUCAUACAAGAAGCUAUCAUCCACUAAGCUUACCUACCCAAAGAACAAGAAAAGCUAUCAUCAAGACAACAUACUAAUCAAAGAAAUCCAGUAAAAGUUGUUAUGAUGUGGACGAUCUGAUUAUAAACAGAACUAAGGUAGAAAUGCAUUCUGAAAUUUGAAUCACCAAGCAAAUAAAAUGUGAAAACUUUAGAGGUCCAAUGUCAAGUUGGUUAAACAAUUGCUACCUAGAAUUAUGGUUCUCCACCAAUCCAAGGCCCAGACCCAAGCACAUCCAUCGUUAGUUCUUCAAUCUUCUAGUCUAUGUGGUUUAUAGCCAGGGAACCUUUUUGUGUUUAAAGUUCCACCAACUUCAAGUUGGCCAGCUACAACAGAAUGUUAUUUCACUAUAAACUCAAAGGCUACUAAACCACAGUGCUCCUAUGAAAAGGAAUUGAGAAGCUUAUGGUAACUGUUUACCUUCAGAUAGAUUUCUACCAGACAGAAGUUGCUAUGAGAAUAAGAACUAGUUAUUAAUUUCUUUCAAAAGUCAGGUCAGAUAUGUGUCAACCCUAUAGAUCGGAUAUCGUUUCCUCUAUGUCACCCUAACCAAGGGCCUGACAUUAAUUCCAACUUGUUGGAACUGAAUCCUUUCCAGAGGAACUGGCUUUCCGGCUAUGUCCAUUUAGGAAGCAAGAUAGCAUUAAUCUUAUCUAAUUAUCUGGAAGGCGGAACAGCAGAAACAAUAGAACUAGCUAUUUUUCAGAUAGACCACUUCCAAUAAUCUACAUUGCGAGGCUGUCAUCUUGUUUGUAUCUUUAGAGUCAACUUUAUUUAACCUAAGGCCCAUACAGGCUUCCACUUCUUUAGUUCCAUAAUAACAUUGUGCUUGAACUUUUCAUUAUGAUUCUAAUCUUCAACAAGUUCAAAAUCAUCCAACUCUGAGACCCCAGAUUUACAUAUGGGCAUCUAAGUACUUCAGUAAAUUCUGUUCCCAUCCUUGAGGUCAUCUCCAUCACAACGAUCUAGUUCCCCUUCCAAAUACCUUAAGAAACUUCAAGUACUAUGGUAUUUAUACCCAUCAGUGAUGCUGCCACGCUCAAUGUGACUGCAGUUCAAAAAUUAUUGACUUUUUUAUGAUGAAAAGUUUAAAUUAAAUUAGUAGUGUCUAUUUAAUAAGCAUACACAAUUUUUUAUAGCAGUACGUGUCAGAGAUAGAAAACAAAAAUUCUCUUCAUUAGAUAGGUAGUCAUAUAAUUAGAGAGUUAUUAUUCUAUGGAUGAUUUUUUUUUUUUGUUGAAAGUCAUUUUUGGAGUUAUAGCUUAAAGAGAGGAACUUUUAACCAAAAAAACAAAACUAAAAAGAGAAGAGAGACCCUCAGAUCAAACCUUUCUCUCCCUUCAUUAAUAGUAAGAUUCAAUUUCUAUCAUCCCAUUCAGCUAUAGCAUGACAUCAGCAAUCUCUUUCCUGCUUUUUUAAUUUGGUUGCAAUCGAGGGAAUGUAGAGCUCCAAAUUAAACAGACCCCAGAUACCAUAAAAAUCUAGGAUAGCAGAAGAGAGAACAUAAAAAUGAAGAAAACUUUCAUCAUCAUCUUCUUCUUCUCCUCUUUUUUUUGUUAAACUUUUUUUAGAAUCUUAAGUUUACACAUUAUUGCAAAUAUAUGUCAACAUAGCCAAAUUUCCAUGGUAUAUUACGCUCCAAAGAUCCAACAAGACCCAAAGAAGCCCAGUUAAUAAGGAACCCUGAUUAUACAAAAAUGUUUUCCAUCUUAACAACAUUAAAUUGAAUCAGAAGCCACAUAUCAGAAGUUAAUCAGGCAAUCACCAAGUUAGAAAGCAACUAUAUAAAUCUAUUCUUUAUUGAAAAGGAUUUCUUGGCCUCCACUAACGUACUACUAAUUCCUAUUCAUAAGAUUCUUUUACUAUACCAAGAAAAAAGAAGAAAAAUGAAGCACAUAAAAGAUAAUUGAAUGGUUAUAAUGCAACACUGUAAAUUGUUGCAGUGUCUCUGUUAUUUUAAAUCGAACAGGACCAAAUUUAGUCAGUUACCAAUUUAAGCAUCCCAUACAUGAAACCUAAGCUUAUGUCUUCAUUCUAUGUUUAGCUUUUCCUGAUAGCAAUGAAUAAACCUCAACUAUCCUCAAACGUGCAACUUCAGAAGAUGCAAAACAAAACAUCAACAAUUAGUUCACAGAAGAGAAGAUUCAGUUGUACAAAACUGGAAUUGAACUUAUGCGGUACAAUCAAUAAUAACUAGAUUGUCACUGAGUCCUUCACGGUGAUACAAUUUUCUUCGUUUAGUAAAUAAAUUGAGGUAAUAUGUAUGUACUAUUCCUCAUUGAACAAAUCUGUACUGCUGAACUAUAGAGUCAAAAUCAGAAAAGUGGUUUAUGAAAAUGUAAACAGCAAGUCAAAAGGAAACGUAAUUACAGUUAAGUGUGGACGGAACAAUGAAUGAGGGACAAUCAGCAGCAAUCUACAGUAUGUUUCCACCAUUGCAAUGUUUGGGAUGACCUGCAUCAAAAUCCUAAAGUCACAAAAAAAGAACUACAAUUUAUAAUGUACUCAUGGACCAUUAUUAGAAAGAUAAUUCUAUAACAACGUUUUGAGACACUAACACUCAAAUGCCACAAGCACCAGAAAAAUAGUAUUCCAUCUGUCCCAAAUCAAAUGUCUUGCCUGGCCCAUUGCAAAACUGAGUCCACUUUCCAUAAAUGGAAACUUGAAAUUCCAAAAUCCUCUUACCAUCCACAUACUUUUUAUACCUACAACUACAAUAAGGAACCACAUAUUCCCCAUUAUUCAUACAUUUCAAAUUACCAAUGCAGUAAAACCCACAUGUCUACCACCAGCUGCUUAUACUUAAUACUUGUGCCACAUUAAAAGUAGGACAUUCAAUUAGGGAUAGAGGGAGUAAUCUGGUCUACUUCUUAGUAAAGUAGGCUACCAAUUUUAUUAUAACAUGUCAAAUAGCAUAAGACAAACAACUUUUUUACAUAAAUGAAAAGAAAAGAAGAUGAGACACCCAUACAAUGGAGAAGCACCAAUUCUUUGCAGAUUCCCAAAGAUAACCUCUUCUACUUAUACCCUUGGCACCAGUUGCUCAAAUUUUGAAUAACAUCACUUAUGUAUAAUGCUUGACUUGUCAAACCUGAAUUUACCCUAUCCAAGGAAAUAGUUCCAUAAAGGUAGGAGAAAGAAGGCAAAAAACUAGAUGGUUGACCUGUCCAUUAAACAUAGAUUCUUCCAUCUGAAAUGUCAAUUUUAGGCAUAGGUUUAUGGAGAACCCCGAUAAUAGUGAUAUUGGCAGUGGACUAACUUCCCGCAUCACUGCAAUUCGCUCAUUAGCCUGCAGAUUUGACCCUGGUAACAGCUCCGUAACUCCAGCUGAUGCUAAAUAAUUCAUCACUGAUUCACAAGCUGGCUGUGCCAUGGUGUAAGACACGACCCAAAACAUACCAAUCGAUCUGUCAUCCAUAUUCAUAUAAUCCAGAGUCCGCUCACCUGAAAUUUGAUUACAAUAUGACCAAAAAAAUGUUAGAAGAGAAAAAGAAAUAAUCAAAGUAAGUAAAAUUAAACACUUCAAAAUGUCAAAUGGAUGGUAAGUCAGUCAGUAAACGAAACAAGUAUAAACAUUCUUACUUGGUAAAGUUUACUAUUUGCAACAAAUUUCUGAAAAUAAUGGAAACAGAUGGUACUUAAUGUUCCUGGAUAGAAAUCCAAAGGGUAUAGCAACCAAAAAAAUCUAGUAAAACAGCAAACAUGUAUGAAAAUAAAAUUAAAAAAAAAAUACCAAGACGCAUCUCUUUAAAAAAAGAAAACUAUAAAAAGAACAGACAGAGUCACUUUUCAACCAAUGACUCAGCUCUUCAAUAAUUUUAAAGAAGAUUUCAUUUGAUCAAGGAUGAUUAAGUCAAAUUUUCAAAGAAGGACACAUUCCAAUCUCAAUCCCCCACCACUACUCCCAGCAACAACUGGUCCAAUUAGGUGAUUGUAGUACAGUAGCAUAUUCUCCUAACAAGACUUUGCCAUGCAAUUUUGUCUUUCAUGAUCGCAGGAGCUACAGCUAAAAGUUAUAGACAUGAUGAACUUUAAAAACUUCAAGUAAAGUACAAGUGCAUUCUUGAUCUGUUCACUACCUUUAGUUGUUUGUCUCCACCAUUCAUCGAUUUGCUUUCCCUUCUGAAGCUGCUCAUUGUUUAGGUAUUCUCUGGUUGAUGUAUUCAACGACCAAAUCCUCAAGUUCUGACAACUACUUACGAAGUCAAGCAGGAUGCUUUGGGGAUUAUUUGGGUCAGAACUUGCCUCUUUAUGAAAUGAGAGAAUUUUCCUCGUAAUCUCAACCUGCCAGCAGAAAGCGGUUUACGAAAUAAUAUAGAAAAACACCCUUAAACUAAAGGUCGCAACAGGUUCUCUCAUGAUCAUUGGAUUAUACUACUCAAUCCACUCGACCAUUUGACUUAUGGCAAAUCUAUCCAACCUUUGGCCUACCUCUCGAUCAGCAUAUCACAACCAUGAUACCUAAGCCACCCACUACUCUUUCUCUUCUAUUUCCUUUACCUUUGAACCCCAAAGAACUUCCCCCAAACCCCUCCGCCCCUAAAAGUCCGAAAUCAGAUUUCUCCUGUACACAUGACCAUCAUCCUGUUACAAGCUUACUAAGUGCUCAACUCAAAGGGAAAAAGUACUCAACUCAAAGAACUAAUGUCCACCCAACAGUAAGGAUGCCAAUAUUCUAUUAUGCACUCCCACCCUCUGGUAUGUAUGAAUGAGGAUAUCAAAAUUACCUCUCAUGUGCUUUUGCACAUAAGAUUAGUACCAUACAUGUUUUGAACAUUUGUAUUUGGGCAAAUUCUUUUCUUCCUUCUAAAAUAGACCACUAGACCAGGGCAAAUUAAAGAACUACAUUCUUAAAAAAUCAUAAUCAGAUCAAAUUAGGAUUCAGAUAUCCGCCGUAAGAAACUUUCUACAUCUAGAUUUCACAUGUCCAGGCUUAAAGACUUAAAUUUCAAAAAAAAAUGAUGGGAGAAUCAGAGUGCUAACUCCUCUAAACAAGAAAAAAGAUGACAAGUAGACAUUUUCAAUAUUAAGAUGAAUAAUAAAUACAUUUUUCGAAAAUAAUCAGAGCAAGAUCAAUGCAGUCCAUGCAUGGAAUUAAGACAGAAGAAAGCUAAGUGAUGGAAUUAAGACACAAGAUAGCCAAGUGAUGGAAUUAAGACACAAGAAAGCCAAGUGGCUCAAAAGUUUAAGACCACCUUUCUUGAGUCUGAAUUUAAAGCAUUCAUUACUAGCUCAACCCGAAUAAUUUGGGUAAGCAACCAUGUAACGUGGUUUGUCCUGAGGAUAUGCUGAUCACCAUCCUGAAGCCGAGAAACCAAUUUGUCCACAAAGUCAACAAAAUCAAGACAUCCGUUUUUCGCGAGAAAAAAGAAUACGUCUGAAAAGGUAAGCCACUCUUGCCAGCAAUUUAUCUCUGCCAAAUAAAGUUAGAGCAAGGCAAAGUUAACAAUUGGAAAAGAAAAAGAAAGAAUAAGGUAUUUUGAAAAAAUUCAAAACAAAAGCAUAAAAAAGAAGAAACUAAUAGAAACAAUUUUCAUUAGAUGUGGAAGGUGGGGAAACUAUCUACAAAUCCUAUAUUAUCAUUCAGGUGCCAGAGAUUUGCUAACUGUUGGCUAUAGAGCCAUUUCAUAUAAGGACAGAUAAUUCACAUCAUUCAUACUGCUGACAUGGUAAAGUAAUGCAACUCCAAUUCCAAUCUUUUGUUUCCUUCCCGAAACAUUUCUUUAGGUUCAUUGUAUAGGAAAAUCAACACUACAAGUAUCAUGCUGGAGAUCAAAUAGAUGUAAAAGUAGCCAUCCAGAGAUCAGGACAUGCAACUGCAAGCAUAAAAACAAAGCUAACGGACAGAGAUUUACAAAUUGCAGAAAAGUCCCCUUCCCACAACUCAUAAAAAACUAAUGAUCAGUAUCUCCAGUUCAUCGCUUCAGAGAUAAACUAACAGCAUUUCUAUCAGUAAAGUGCUUCUUUCAUGUACCACAUGAUGUUGUGUUGAUCCCAGUUUAAAAAGAGAAAAACAGGUAUAACAUCAAGGAUGAGAAUAUUGCCUGAAUUUGUCAGCUUCAAUAAUUCAGCAAUCCGAUCAAUUGUAGCCUCACUAAUCAUUUCAGCAGUAAAGACAGCACCAGGAGUUGGUGCUUGAGCUUGAAGCCUGUAACAGGGAGCUAGAAGAAGCACACGCUUCCACCAGUCAAGUGAUGGUGUAUUACGAAGAGCAUGUCUUAUGCAACGAAGAGCACGCUCCCAGUCCAAAGUUCCUCUCUGAAUGGAUACUGCAAUAUCCUAAAUCGAGAAGCAAAAUAUUGAAAAGAAAGAAAGUGUUUCAACUCUCCUAAUUCAGUUUCUGAAGACAAACUAUUCUACAAUUAUACAAGAAAACCCUAUUGACAAUUCAAAACUUGACAGACAACCCUCAUGGAAAAGUCCAGUUGAAUCUAAGUGUCUUUUCUUGUUUCUUAUUUUGUCUGACAAUUCCAGUUUAAAACAUUAUCUUAAAACAAAGACACCUCAUUAUGGCACGUAGUUUUGCAUGCACCUUUACCCGUUUUACCCUGGAGUAUAAAACACAUAGCAAGUAAAAAAAUAAUAAUGGAAAUAAGGAAUCCACAUUUUAUAUAAAAACAACUUAAAAGCAUCUCAGAUAUAUUGUCAAUCAGUUUUAGUUGGCCUUUCGUGACCAGUAUUGUCCAACCAACUAUACCAUCAAGUGUGUUUUUUAAAAUGGUCAUCACAGAAAAUCCAGAACCAUAAUCUUCUCAAGAAAUUAUCUACUUACCCAAGUAAAGUUGUAGGUUACAUAUUUGUACAUUCAAGUUCUUGAAUAAACUUCAAUCAGUUUAACACUUUAGAAGAGUUCAUACAGAAGGCAAUAAGCUAUUAAGCAAACAGAACAUGAGGUCAUCAAAGUUCAUCAUCAUAGGAAAGAAAAGGUCAUUAUUGAUUACCUCUCCAUGCAGUGGUUCUCCAAGCACACUUGGGUAUGUAAUUGCUGGAUAUCUCAUGUGAGUUGCUGCUUCACCUGAAAUGUUAUUCAUCGCCUGAGGAAAAAGCCUAGGAGUUCCAAAUGUAGGACAAUGAAGAUGUUGAUCCAACAUUUGCAUGUGCAUGGCCAUCAUAUCUCGCCUUUUGUGGAUCUCCAAAAUAAGUGUGAACAGUGCCUCAUCAUCUGGAAUAUUUUCUAUGACCUGCAAGUUACUUCGCACAAGUUCAUAAAAAGGUAUACGGCAUUUAUCAUCUUCGACUAACAGCCAUAUCACAUCUAAACAACUAUGGAGCCAUUCAAUCAGUGCCUUGUCAGGUUUCCAGUAUCUUGCACUGUCAAAUUCAUCAAUACCCUGCUGUUUUUGGUCCCAGUUGAUAAUCCAAUUUAACAGAUGAGAGAAAACAUCAGCAUGGGUAGAUGGCUUUAGGUUAAAUUUUAGGCCGAUUAAGAUUAUCUUGCAACACAAGUGGCGCAAGUUGCUCAUAGAAUUGUCCCUUGUAAUUAAGUUGAUUCUUGAAUUUGAUUGUUGACCGCCACCAACAUCAGGGGACUUCAUUGGUGAUUGUUCUGCAACUGAUUGAGCUGGGGAUCCAAUACAGUGAACAGAAGGCAGAGGAGAUGCAGGACUUGAUGACUGAAAAUUGGUGGGAUUAGUAACCGUGCUGGAAGGUGGCAACACCCCAGACUGUGUUAAAGUCGCAGAAGACACAGUAGCCCCUGAUUGGCUUCCUUGACUGAUUGAAACCUCCACAGAAGAAACUGAAGAGAGAAGAGAUGGCAAAAAAGUAUCCCAGUUUAUGUAACUUAUGCUAGAGAGACUGUGCAAUGCAAAAAGAAGAAAUUCUGCUCGGGGUGCGUGACUUCUACACUGAAUAACCAGAGAUAUAAGAGUAGAUUCUGUCAAAGCACGCAGUUGAUCCUGGUCCUGAAGGAGAUAACAUAUAAGAACAAUACAAGUCUGAAUGCUAAUGGGCCAGUAAAAGAAAGGGAUCACGAAGCAUAAGUGAUUUUAAACUUAAUCUCACUUGAAAUUGACUCAGUAGCUGCUCAAAAUCUAACAGGAACUGUUCAUUUCGAGGUGGCAGAUCUCUAUUGAGAGCACUAAUGCGCUUCUGUGUCUUGUUCCUGUUUAUCAAUACAAAUUGUAUUUUAAAAAUCAAGUGAUAAAAGAAUGUUUUCAAAAGCACUAAAACACUAACUUAUGCCCUGAUGCUAGCUAGAAGCUCACAGGAUGGAAGAGGGUGAUUUACAAGUUCUCAUCCUUGCGAAAUUACCAUGCAAUAUUUGCAAGAUUAUACAUUACAGGAUAAAAUAAAAUUUCCUUAUGGCUACAUGCAAUAUGCUCAAUUUGCUAUAAUUCAAGUGAUAUAGAAAUAAAAGAAUGAGAGCGAUUUUAUAAUUCAAGUGAUAUAGAAAUAAAAGAAUAAGAGCGAUUUUAUAAUUCAAGUGAUAUAGAAAUAAAAGAAUAAGAGCGAUUUUCAGGGUCCAGUUUAAGUCUAUAAAAUAAUUGUGGAAAAAGUUGUCAGACUGAAGUAUUUAAUAAGUAAUUUUCACUUUCUUGCACAAUGAUUUCUAACCUAGAAUGCACCAGUUCCCUACCUUAAAAGCAUUUGCAGGCAAAUGAAACACUUAUAUUCUACUGCACAACAAAGUUUACCUAGAACAGACACCAAUUCCCUAUCUUAAAAGCAAUUUGCAGACAAAUGAAACACUUAAAUUUUACUGCACAACAAAGUUAAAUGAACUAAUAAAUCAAAAGUACUGAAAAAGAUGUCAGGCCAUAAACUAGAUGUCAAAUGCAAGUUAAUUAUUUGUAUAACAUAAGUAAUGAUAAGCCAAAUCUAUUCCAGUUCCGGUUAACUAGGGACAACUUUGACCACUUACUGGAGACCUUGCAUAUAAGAACAUCUCAAGUCUCCACCUAAUAUCAACCUCCUUGGUUUGCAGUAAAUAAAGUUGAUGAGAGAUGUUGAUGGCCACCAAACAGCAACCAGAGAAAUGUCUGAGAACCAUCAAAAAGAUAACAUGCUACAUGCUACCAAAUGAUGACUUUCACCUAUUUUUCUUUUUUCCCAACUCAACAACAAAUACAGCCUUUCACGAUACAGAGAGAGAGAGAGAAUCCUAUCCCUCUGUCAUACAUGUCUGAUCAUCCUUUUACACAUCAAACAAUCACAUCAUGUCUGGACUUGCCUAAAACCUGAGUCAACCAACCUUUCUAACUAGUACUGAGGCUUUUAUCUAUCAGCCAACCCUGCAUGCUUCCUUCCACUUUUACAUCUGGACUUAUCCACUUCCUGCAAAUGACUGAUGACUUCUAAACUAAAUUAGUCCACCUAAACAAUUAAUCCUCCAACCAAAACACAAAAGACUUGUAAAAAUUGAAACUUAGGCCCACAAAUGAGUCACAUCAAUGGCACAUCAACUCCUUUAUGAACCAAAAAUGAUCUUAACGAAAAGACAACUAUACAAAACAUGUCAAACCUAACAAAAAGAUUACAAGAAUCUAUAAAGAAAGGAAUUUUUUAUCACAUCUUAACAACACAUAGAAAAAAAAAACCCCAAAGGUUUACCUAAUUUUUCCUAUAACAAAUAAAUGAUGAAAUAAACACAAACUCCAAUCAGAAGAAACUACAUCCAAGGCAUGGAAUACAAUUAUUAUCAUGAUUUAACCAAGAGUUAGUUUUACAAAUAAAUAAUCAACCUACUUCAUUCCAUACAGCCCUCGAAAAUCAAAAUAACUUCCAUGUCAAACUUAUCAAAACCCAUGAUUGAAACAAAACUGCAUAAAAGAUUCUACAUACGGUGGUUCCCGGGCUGAUUCAUCCGAUUUUUGCUGUGCAGUUCUCUGCCAAUAAAAACCCACAACACAAAAAAUGAAUCAAACGCAAAUCGUGCUGCACCAUUGAAAACAGCAGAUAGUAAACAAAAAUCAUAGAUAAAAAACUGAACUUUAUACUAAUUUCUAUCUUUCCUGAGCUUUCUUUCUCUGACAACUAAAACACUCGACACAAGAAUGCAAUCAAACAUAAUUAAGCAAUACCACACAAAUCAGAACAUCAGUAAAGCAAGAAACAAUAUAAAAAACUUCAGCUUUCUACUGGUACUAUUUAUGGUUCCUGAGGUUUCUUUUUCUGCCAACAAAAGCCCAAAAUAUGAAAAUGCAAUGAAACAUCAAAUUACGCAAAACCAUAGAAAAUAAAGCAAAAAUACAGUAAGAAAACGGAAUAAAAAUUUGAACUUUAUAACAUUUAUGUUUUGUGGGAUUUUGUUAUCUUACUCCUAAGUAAAGAUUGAAAAGGUCGAGGAUGGCUGGUCUGGCAGGGUGAAAUUGAAGAGCCCUUGAAGUAGCAGACGUAGAAGAAGAACUGGGAUUGUUUCUUUGACCAUUCUGCAUCUGCUGCUGCUGUUGUAGCUGCUGGUGAUGGGCUGUGUUCUGGUCCAUCAUCAUACCACUGUCCGAGGUUGUUGGGGUCUGAUUCGAAACAUUCCCACCCCCAAGAGUUCUAAACAUGGUGGCUUUUCAAGAAUUUGUGUAUAUGUUUCUCUUUCUCUGCAAAAUUCAAAUGUUUAAUUAGCAAAAUGACCGACUUCUACAAGAGUUUACACAGAAUUUUACUCAUUCGUGUUUUUUUUUGGGGCUUUUUUGGUGGGAUUGGAGCUCGUGAAAGUGAUGGGUUUAACACCUGGUAAGGCUGGAACGGGAGAAAUUUUUUUGGCUAAUUAGACUUAGUGCCCCUGAGUCUUAACCAAACUACAAGUCAGAUGUUCAGGUAUCUCCAAAUUUCAUGCAUCUCCUGUUAGAGUGUACAAAAUAAGAAGGUUGAAAUUCCUGAAUGAGCAUUCGCUGAAGUAGUGAAUUGUCAAACUAUCUAAAGAAGGCCUAACUGGAAACCAAAAAAAAGAGUUAAUCAUAUUUACCUCCGUUAAAGUUUUAUUAUACUACAAGUUAGGCCUAAAGUUUGAUCAAAUUACAUAAAUUUCCUUAUCACAAUUGCCCUCCAUCUAGAGAAGGUAUAUACGAGCAAAAAAUUGUAGCUAGUAGGGAAUUUAAAUUUUUAACAAUAUAAAUGAAAAUAUAAAAUUGAAAGAAUGAGAGGCGUAGAGGAUUUAAAAAAAAAUACAAAUACCAAAACAAAGAAAGAAAAAUGAAAGAGGUGCUUAGUUCAUACUAAUAAAUUAGAUUCAUAUAUAAAAUAUCAGCAUGGGCUUUAUACAAGGAUUUUAUUCUAAUUAGUGCUUGGUAAUAUUCCUGAGAAUGGUUAUCAAAUUAAAUUGUUUCUUUUUUUUCUUUUGUUCAACUGAAUAAAAUCUUCAUGAUCAACUUCAACUCUGACAGGUAUUUAUCAAACUAGCAAAUAUGAAUAACCAAGGAGCAAUAAAUCUGAACAGCUAGUUGUAUGGUUUUUUUUUUUGUGUCGUAAUCGCACAUCUACUCUAAUCUAACAUACUCUUACUCCUAGGGGUGGCAAUUCGGGUCCAAAUCAGGUUGGCGAGUCGGGUCUGACCCGACCCGUCAGAAAAUUUGUUGACCCGAACCCGACCCGUCAACCCGUGAAGGGUCAGGUAUACUGAUCCGAACCCGAAAAUUUCAGGUUGACGGGUUGGCGGGUCGACCCAAAAUGACCCGAAACUUAAUUUUAAUUUAUUAAUUUAUCACUGUAAUUUCUAAUAAAAUUAAUUUCUCACAAAACUAAUUACAUAAUCAAGUAAUAAAAAUUUUAAUAAAUAAUUCUAAACCAAAUCUAAAAUAAAUUAAACACCGUAAAAGUGUUUUAUCCCAAACAAAAUAUAAAAUAAAUUAAAACAGUAUAAAAGUAAAAAAUAAUAUAAUAUAUUAUUUGUCCAAAUAUAAUAAUUUCAACUUCACACAAAUUAAAUAAAUUCAUUUAGGAUUAAGUAAUUAAUGCCUUUGAAAAAAAGAAUAACUUAGUUUAGUUAGAUAAAAUUAUUUUUAUGUUUAUUAAAUUAUUUUUAAUUCGUAAACGGGUCAUAUCAUGUCACCACGGGUUAACCCAAAAUCGACCUGUUUUCUUUUCGGGUUCAUCGGGUUCAACCCGAUUCUGACCCGAAUUCCCGAAACCUCAACCCAAACCCAUUAAUUUCGUGUUAGGUUUGUGUCGUGUUUUCAGGUCGUGUCGAAAAUUGCCACCCCUACUUACUCCUACCCCGGGGGGGAGGGGGGAAAAUCUACUAUAUGGGGUGGUCCAACUGAACCGAGGGAACAUGACGGGGACUGAACCACCAUCAGACUAAAUGGGUGCACCACAUAUCAGUAUGAAUUUAGAACCACCAUCUAAUUGUAACGUUUAAGCGUGAAUUAAUUGAUUUCUUGUUCCCCUUAGAAGAACAAUGGUUGUGGUGGGGAUUGGAAAUGUUUAGAAAAAAAGAAUAUGAGGAAAAGGUUAACAGGUGAAAAAGAAAGAUAUUUCAGUGAAAGUGAGGCAUAAAACGAGUAGUAUGAGAUGACUAGCAAUAGAAGGGAAGUGAGGUUAGGAGUGAGUGAAGAUGAGAGAUAGGGGAAAGAAAAGGUGAUAAUAGGAGGUAGAAGGUGGAUAGGAUUAGGCAGCAAUGGAGUAGAAAAGAGAUAAAACUGGAUGGAGGGGCAAGUAGUAGCAGUAGGAAGCCACAAAAAUGCAAAGAGGAUGGGAAAGAAAGAAAGAUGUUUUUAUUAAGAUUACUUUUUUCAAAUUUUAGAAUCAAAUUUGAGAUUCAUCAAAAUCUCUAAAGUGGGUGCUAAGAGGUGCUGGCUUUAUAGAUUUUAUUCUAAGAUUUUAAUACAUGUACCUAUUAGCCACGCAAUAAGUAUGAGAGUCAUUUUAAUUCUCAUUCCAAUAUUUUUCAAUGAAGUACCCCUAACAAGUUAAAAAAAUAAAGAACAAAACUCAAACAUAUGUUAAAAUAAAAAAUUUCUAAUUAUCAUAAUAAGGGUUAAAUACUCAAGAAUAAAUAUAGAGAAGGAGAAAAAAUCUUACAAACUGAGUAAACAAAAUAGAGAAACCACAAGAAGAAAGAAAAUAAUCACCUUUAAAACUAGAAGUGAAACUAAUAGGGAACUUAAACUCCACUCUGCAAUUAGAUUCUCACAACGCUAUUUCAUGACAAGUGAUGAUACAAACCCAAAAUUUGAAUCCUUGGAUCGAAUGUGGACAUUUGACGUGGCAUACAUGUCAGAAAAGUCAAAUCACACUCUUAAGUCUUUUUUUUUUUUUACUCCAUUUUCUCUUUGUUUCACUCUUCUCUGUCUUUUUUCACUGUAACUACUUCCCAAUUUCUCUUUUUUCCUCCUCUACCAUCUCUAUCACCAGUCAAUACUAUUUUCUUCCUAGAUAUACAAACUAGCUCUCCUACAUCCUAACGGAAGAUAUAGAAGGAGAUACUUAUUGAAUAAAGAAGAAGCACACAUAACUAAAUAGAAAUAGCUCAACAUUUAAACUAUCCAAAAAUCUCAAUUUUAUCAUGAAUCAAAUCUUCAUAUUUGUUUGACAAAUAAUUUUUUCAUUCCUACAUCUCGAAUUUGCAAACAAACCAACAAAAUCAUCUUUCUAAUACUAAUUUAAAAACCUUUUAUGGUAGUCAACCAGAAUCAAAGCCUUUAAUUAUUGUAAUUGUUUACGACAUUCUAGGCAAAAUAGGUUGAGGGCAAAAAAAUAGAAAGAGCCAUUGUUUAGGCAUUUUAGGAAGAAGUUUUACUGUUAUGAGUAAACUAGCUUAUGAUAUGAUAAAAGCGAAUUGAUGUCGGGAGAGAUCCGAAAAUUGGUAAGAGAAUUGAUAUGAAGGGAUGGCCAAGAAAAAUUAGAGUAAUUACUCAAUGAGUUGAUACCAUGGCUGCAGUUCAGGGAGAGAAUUAGGGUUUUGUUUGGAUUACCAAGUAUGUCAAAUACAAGUUUUUAUUUUUGGAGUCUACUGUAAUACAUUUCAAAACCACCCCCAAAAACACUUCAAAAAUGUAUAAUCUUAAAUAUAGCUAUCAAAAAAAUGAAAAAUAAAAUAAACCUACCACCUGUAUCUUCUUCUACCUACUACCUACUAUCCGCUUCAUCUUCUCCGCCACCACCAUUUCCCACUCCUCUCUUCUCCUUCUCUCUCUCUCUCUCUCUCUCUCUCUCUCUCUCUCUCUCUCCCUCCCUCCUCUUUCCUCUUCCUCCUCUUUCCUCUUCCUCAUUUCCUCAUUCCUUUUCCCUCAUCUCCUCUCUCCUUUUUUUCCCAUUCCCUUCCCUUACCUCCCCCUUUGAUUGUAGGUGGGUCGUAAUAGUCGUGGCCAGUGAUCAAAGGAGAAGGGAGAAGAGAGGAGUUAUAGAGAAGGGAAAGGAGGAAAGACGAGAAAAUGAGUAAGGAGGGGAGAGGCAGAUAAGGAGAAGGGAUGGUGGUGGUGAAUGAGGAAUAGAGGAAUGGUGAUGGUUGUUGUAGGAAAUUUUUAAAAAAUGCCAACAAUACCUAAUUCAAAUGGACCAUUUAUAGUAAAAAGUUUUAAAAUACAAUACUAUAAUAAAGUUUUUAAAAAAUAUCUCAAAAAUACUUAAUCCAUACGAAUCAUAGGUUGUGCUGCCAAUUGAGGUUGGUAAUGUUUUUAGAAUUGAAAAUUGCUAAAAUUAACUCAAGAAAGGGAUCAAAAAAGUUAUCUAUGUAGUGCCACAUCAAUUGGCUGUUAUAAUGUCCAAAUGACCCAUUUAGACUGUUUAUCAUUUUCCUUUCAUAAUUCAUCUUCCUCAAUUAUCAUCUUCUUAUAAUAAUAUUCCAUGCAAAUCUAGUUUUUGUUUUCCUUCUCCCUCCAUGCAAAUUCAAUUUUUGUGUUCAUCCUUCCUCCGCCAUCUAUAGGCACUUAAUAUAUUCACUUUUUAUGAUCAGUCAUACACAUACUAGAAAUAGCAAGAAAUUAUACGAAUAGAUGUUUAUGAAAAUUACUUAGAUUCACAAUUCCGUUUCAAUUUGCAAAUAGCAAUUUCUAGACUUUUUUACCUUUUGCAUAUGGACAUUGAUAGCUAAAUUUAUUGCAUUUCCCUUAUUUUUGGAAGACAAUAAGAUUGUAGUUUAGUCUUUGAUAUUUAAUGGAGUUAUUUUGUUCAAUUAUAUGAAAUAUGUUUUUAGUGUGUGGUGUUGAUUAAGAGAGAUUGCAAUUUGCACAUGAAGAUGGCCGAUGGUAUUCUGAUCUAGUUACUCGUAUUGUUAUUGAAUUAUUGUGAUGUUAGGUUUUCAUUAUAAUGAUAGUAAGGAAGAAGAUGAAGAUCACGAUUUAGAAUAAAGAGUCUAGGUGCAUAUAGCUUUUUAGGACUUCCAUUACUUCUCUAAUAUUAAGAAGUAAGAUUAAUGAUAAAAGCAAUAAGAAUAAAAUUGCAACAAAAAAAGAAAAUAAAAACAAUAGAUUUCAAAAAUAAAUUUGAUAAAAAGAAAGUUAAUAAGAAAAAAAGUCUCAAUUGUUGUUUCAUGAUUUAUUCUCCUUGAACACCAUUUUUCUCAUUCCUGUUUUCUUCAUUCUCUCUAUAUUUUCUCUAUUUUCUUUUUGUUCCUUUGUUUUCUUUUGCCCUUUCCACAAAUUAAUAAAUGAUUAGUUGCAAUUAUAGUAAACUCAAAUAGCAAGAGAUUAGAAAAUAAAUGAUCAAGGAACCAUUUGACACUCACAAUUUGAUUCUGAUUAUAGAAAAGCAAGUGAUAAUACCACAAUUUGUACAGCUCCAAUUUUAUUUUCAUAGCAAUUUAGGUUACAAUGCCUAUAUUGCCCUCAUAAAAGUAAACAUCAACUUAAGGGAUUGAUUGUUUCUCUUUCCUUUCCUUUCUUGUCGAUGAAAACAACAAUUCUUCUCGACAUUUUCUUUUAUUCCUUCACAACCGAUUUAUCUUCUUUCACAUACCCAUCACCACCACAUCAAUUUCCCUUCUCUCAUACUACCUCCGCUUUUCUUUCUUUUGAACUUUAUGCUCCUAGCCAAAUCUUCAUGGCUCCGUUUGAAUUAGUUAUUUUUGAAGGUGUUUUUGAAAUAUUUUACUAUGGUAAUGUAUGUGAAAAGCUUUUACUAUAGAUAUUUUUAAUGGUGUUUUUAGGGUGUUUUUGAAAUUUUUUUUUUGGAUAUUUUUAAGAUUUAAAAUUUUAAUGAGAUAUUUUUAAAAUUGCAUAAAACCUUACCACCACCCCUUCCCUCCUCCCUCCUCUUCCCUCUUUCUCUCCCAUAUUUUUUGGGAUAUUUGGGAUGUAUUUUGGGGUAUUUUUAUAAUUAAAAAUAUGUUUGGAUACUUUUUAAAAAAUUUACACCACUCACCACCACUAUCCAUCUCUACCACUGCCUCCCUCCUCCUCCUCCCUCUUCUUUCUCUCCCCUUCUUCCCUUUUCCCUCUCUUUCUCCUUUCUCCCCUCCCCCUUCUAUUCUUCCCUUCUUCUUCCUUCCUCUCUUUUUCCUUCCCCUUCUCCCGUCCCUACUAGACUCACCUGGAGAUUGUUGGCGCGACCUUCUAGGUCAUGACCAGAAAGGUCACGCCAAUAGUAGCGCUACCUUUUUGGUCGCGAUCAGAUCUGGUUGCGACCAGAAACUCAUGACUAGUGCAACCAAAAGGUCACAGCUAGAGCUGCUAUUGGUUCUUGGAAGACGAGAGGAGAGGGAGGAGGAGGAAGGAGAAGGAGGAAGGAGAAGGAGGAGGAGGAGAAGGAGAAGAGUAGGGAAGAAAGGAGAAAAAGGAAGGGGGAUGAGAGAGGAGGGGAGGAACAACGGUGGAGGUAAUAGUGAUGGUGAAGGAGAGAGAAGGGAGUGGUAGAUGGUGGUGGUGGGUGGUAGUGAUCGGAGGAAGAAGAAAAGGUGAUAGGAUUUAUUUGUUGUAAGUUGUAUUUGAAAUAUAAGGAGUGUUUUUUGGUGGUAUUUUUGGAGUGUGUUAUUGUAGAUUUGUAGAUAAAAAAUAAGUAUUUCAAAAACUCUCAAAUAUUUUUCCAAUUUAUGUUUCUAGGAAUAAAAAUUCUUGCAAGUUCAUAGUAAAUUUCUUUGAUCAAAUUAGAGUGAUGCCAUGGGCUUUUACAUUCUUUUGUGUUUUAGCUUGGGAUGAAAUUUUAUGAAUACAACUGAUAGCAAACAACUCGAUUCCCUAUGCACUUUGUUGGAAAGAAUGUCUUGCUUAAGUUUUCUUCAGGAAUCAGGCCCUUUUAUUUGAUUGCAAAGUCAAAGGUCUUGAAAGUUAAAUCUCCUAAUAUCUUUGUCCUGCUAGAAAUUUCUUUUGUAUAUGUGUCAAAAAAAAAAAAAACUUAGACGUGUUCCCUUUCAUUGAAACUAUGGUUUAGGGAGAAUGGUAUAUGAGACUUAUUCAUGGGCAGAGGAGAAGGGAUAGAGGCAUCAGCGUAUUGCAAGGUAGGAACUAGAAUAUGAGAAAAAGGGCAAAAAGAAAGAGAAAUAAAAAGGCAUGAAUGGCGGGAAUGUGCCUAUAGUGUGGUUGGUAGGGUACAUGCAAUUUGUGAGCUUUGUAUUGACUUUGAUAGGAUAUUAUGAGUAUUAAAGAUAAUAUUGCUAUGAAAAUAAAAUUGGAGAUGUGGCAUUAUCAAUUGCCUAAUACAAAUAACAGGAUCUUGUUCCUUUUUUAAUAGAUAUUAAUAGUUGAAUAUAUAGUUUUUUUUUUAGAGGUUUGUACUUUGGACUUAAUGUCUAAUAGAGUUCUUUUGUUAGAUAAAACAGGGUUUGGAAAUAAAGUCAUUAGCCUUUUUUUACUCGUUCAUUCUAGGUAUAAAUUUUUGGUAAUCGGACUAAAUUAAAAGAGAAUCACAAAAGGAAUAUUGAUGACAACCAGAUUUUAGUUGUCAUUAUUUGCUAUUAUGGUACUAGAGUGUUAACGGAGAAAUCAAAGAGAUCUGGCUAAGGUUUUAGGUAAAUGGUAUUUUGAAAUUUUUAAUACAUUUUAUCAACAUUAAUUGGUGAUAAGAAAUCAAUUUUAGUAGCUAAGAAUAAAGGUCUCUUUAUUAUAGAUUUGUGCAUUUGAAAACAAAUUUUGCUAUUUGAUUAAAUCUCAAGGUCGUACUUAUAGUUUGGCUAAAUUUGAGAGGAGGUAAAUAAUUAACCGCUCUUUUGAACGUCAAAUAACAAUAAUACUAAUUUACAUCUAUAGGUUGGAAAGAGAUAGUGGACUUAACGGGACCAUGGCCCGCAAAAACCAGAAGGAGAGAGCUUUUCUUAAGAUUUGAAAAGUAUACUAUUGCACACAAAUUUAACUUGUAAGCUAUAGCUACUCAAUGGGAAUUAAUGUGCAAAAGCUGUGGCAUUCAUGGGGAUUUAAUGUGCAAAAGGUGUGGAAUUCAACAUUAAUGUGCAAAAGUUUUGGUAUGGCAUAGAAUAGAGUAUGUAGAUUAGGGCAUUCGUUUCUUGACCUAUAGUUGAGGAAGUAUCCAAGUGAUAUCCUGGUGCUUUGGUUGGAUACUGUGAUUAAGGAAAGAAUUUAAGAUAUGGCUCUGUUUGGAUUAGUUAUUUUUCCCAUAAACUGUUUUUAUUUGUGGAAUCUCCAGUUAUAAAUACAAAAAAUAACUUUUAGAAUACACAAUUUCAAAUACAACUUACAAAAAAAGUAAAAGAUAAAAAUAAAUCCUACCACUUUUGGUUCUUUCACCUAUCACACGGCACCGCCGCUACCCCUUCCCUCCUCUCUCCUCCAUUCUUGCCAUCCUCCUCCGUUGCCAGUACCUUCUCCUUCUUUCUCCUUCCUCUCCCUCCUCUCCUAUCCCUCCUAUAUCAUUUCUCUUCUCGCUUCCAUUCUUUUCCCUUUUUCUACUAUUAUUUUCCCUUCUCUUCCCUUGUCGAUCCCUUCUCCCUUUUUCCCCUUCCCUUCUCCCAUUUUCCUAUUUUGGUCAUGACUAGAAAGAGAAGAAGAGGGGAAGAGGAUGGUGGGAAAAGAGAAUAAAAGGGGAAGAGGAAAGAGAUGGUAGUGGCGGAAGAGAGUAACGAUGGUAGAGAAGGAAGGAGAGAAGGGUGGAGGUUAUUUUAAAUAAAUUUACAAAAAUAUACAAAAAAUUUAAAAUUUUAAAAUAUUCCAAAAUAUAUUCUUAAAAACAUAGAAUCCAAAUGAACCAUUUACCGUAAAAGUUUUUCAUAUAUACCGUUACAGUAAAAUUUUUGAAAGGUACCACCAAAAACACAAUGCGAAAUCAGAUUUUAAUGUAAAAUAGUUUUUGAAAAAUACUUUCCCAAUUUUUGAAUGUUUGUUUGCAUUAGAAUUUAAGCGAGCAUUUUCUAAUGAAAAACUUUUUUUAUACCAUUUGCUAUAGAACAACUUUAGCAAAAAUGGUUUUCAUAUGGUUGUAUUGGCUAUUGGCCACAUCAAAACUCUUUUAAAAACAAAACUUUUUCAACUAUGCUUUAUUCUCUAAGUCUUUGAUCGUCCAAUUAUUUGGUAAGUGACUCGUUAUUGGCUAUUCCAUUCUCAGAGGCACAAUAGUGACUUUACCUCUUUUCAGUUGAGUACAGUGAGUUCAAAUUUUUCGAUAUAGCAUUGUUAUUUUUUCUUUCAUUCACAUUGACACACACAAUCUGGAGACAUGUCUCACCAGAAAAGGUAAAACAUUCGAAGAUAUCAAAGCUUUAGAUCCAGAAAGCAAGUCUUCCCUAGAGAUUACCUAGGAAAGAAGAGGCAAAAAACAUGAAAAGAAGAAAAGUUGUCUACAAUUCAAUUAGCUAUAAACAACUAUCUACAAGGAAGAAUUUGAUAUUUUCAAAUAUGACCAUUUUUUUUUGUGUACAAUUGUUUGAAGGGGUGACAAGAAUUUGUAGUCUUUAAUUGAACUUUCACAACAGAAAUACCAUAUUGAGGUUGUCUCUAGUUAUGGUGUGUUAGGGAGUGGAGAAUUGUAAAGGAACUCUAUACUCUUAAUGCUUUAUUAGUUCGAGGUAUUAAUUGCAACAUAUCCUUUAAACUAAUUCUAUUCUAUAAUUUAUCACUUAAAUUGUCAAAUGAUCUCUAUAUUUUAAUUUUUUUUGAAUUAUUAAUUAAAGUAUUUGCUACCUUAUACUUUAAAUUUAACACACAUUGAUCCAGUCAAGUUAGUUUAACAAUUUAUUUUUAACAAAAUACUAAUUUAAUUGGAGAAGAUAUCUGUUGUUGAUAGUACCCUUUAGUGGUGAUUUUUUUUCCCUUUUUCUUCAUUAAUUUCAUUGUUUUUUUUCCUUUUACCUAUUUAUAUUUCAACUAUGCUAUGACCAGCCAUUGAUAGAAAACCAAUAACGUCUAUUACUCUAUCAAAAUGAUUAAAUCACAUAAGGAAAUUGAAAAUUUUCUUCUUGACAAAAAGAACUCAUAAGAAUGUAAUGCAAACCAAAUGUCCAAAAUUCCAUGCUAAAAUCUCCUAACAAAAUCCAAUUAUAAUUUCUAUUUACACCAAAAAGAAAAACCCCGCUUUAAUAACACAAAAAAUAAUCAAGAAAAUCAAAAUUUCAAGGUAAAGGUUUGAACAAACAAAUCUAGGUAUAGAUAACAAAAGCAAGGAUUGGGAGACAGUAGAUGGAUACUGCUAUCAACAGGGGGCGAGAAAUAGGGUUUAAGGGGAUAUAAUUUUAGAACUCAAGAAAAAUUGCAAGAAUAGAAAAAAGAAAAAUUGUGAAAUAGUAUAUACUAGGUUUAGAGAAUGCUAUUAUAAAAGGUGAUUAGAGGGUAAAACAAUAAAAAAACCUAAGAGGGCACUUGGUUCAAAUGUAGGAAUCGAAAUUGUAAUUGGAAUCACGUCCAAAAAUUCUGUAUGGGGUUUGAUCAAAAGUAUCAUUAUAAUGACUAGUGUUGGGUAUAUAUUUAUAAGGUUUUGAAAUCAACUUAUUUUUCAUUUUCUUAUCUUUAUUUUUUUCUGCUUUCGCUUUUUCUACUUCCUUCUUCCUAGCCCUUAAGUAUUCAUGCUUCACCAAUUUCUCUUGAACCACUAUUUGACUAUCACCAAUCAACCUUGCAAUUUGUGGAGUAUGGAAGAACGACUGACAAGAGAUGAGAGAAAGACUUACACAAAAAGGAAAAAAAAAUUGAGAGGAGAGAGAACUAGAUGGAGAGAAGCGGCAACCAUGAAGUAUUGAAGGAAAGAGAAAAAGAGUGAAGAGAGAAUAAAAGGGAAAGUGAGACAGAUAUUAAUAAGAAAGGAGAGAAAUAACCAAGGUAGGGAGGGCUGCUGCUGCCAUUGAGGGUUGGAAGAGCGAGUGAAGAGAGAAGAAAGAGAGAAAAUGAUGAUAAUGAAAGCCUACUCUAGAAGAUGGGAUAAGAGAGAAAAGAUAAGAGAGAAAAUCUGAUACUAAAGUGCUGCUAUGAAGGUUGGGCCAACGUGAUAGAAUGAUGAAGACGACAUGUUUCUUUUUUUUUUUUUUUUUGAAAUCUUCGAGUCAAAUUUGAGAAUCCACCAAAACCCCCCAAUUUGUUGGGGAUUGAGAAUUCCCAAAUUUUAAUAAUUCACUCCAAGAUUUUGAAUCCAAUACAUGUAAUCCAAACAACAAGAAUUGGAACCUAAAAGAUCUAGAGAAUGUUAUAACUUCUCUCUCCUUCUCUUACAUCUAUUUGUCUGUGUCAUUUGCUGAUAUCCUUUUUAAGAUAUUUUUAGGAUAUACCCGCUUUAGAUUCUUAACUUAUUUCCCUCCAAUGAACUUUGUUGUUCUUUAACAAAUUGAGGAAAAUUUACAUAUGAAGAUUGAAGUAAUAACAAAUACUAUGUAUGCUUGACAUUUGAGUGUGUUUGGAUCACACAUUAUUUUUAUCUUAUUUACAUACAUUGACUUAUUUGCACCAUUAACAUAUUUUUCAAUCACUUUUUUAUCUCACAUACAUCAUAUCAAAAAAGUACUACAGUAUUUUUUCACAAAAUUAUCUCAAAUAAUUUACUAUCGGGGUCAACAUUUUUAUGCCCUCUUUUUUGUAUUUGUUUGGGUUUUGUUGUGUGUUUUUUUAUCUUUUAAAGGAAUUUGUUCUUUAAUCAUCCAUUUGACAUGAUAUGCACUAUAUAUAUUAUUUUUUAUUUCGAUUUUGUUAUAGAAAGAAAAAAAGUGAAAAAAAAGGAUGCAAUUUUUUCUUGAUUUAGUGUUGUUUUUCAUACAUUUUGCUUCACUUAAACCAAUUUUUUCCCAACUUUUCUAAUGUAAUCUUUCGUUAUAAACAAAUCUAAUUUUUGCCUUUUAAUCUCUCCUAAAUACUUGUACAUUAAGCAUUCAUUUCACUAAUCACCAUGGAAGUUUGGUCAAACGUCCUAGUCCACAAUCAAAGGUGCAAGAGGUAAACUGGUCAAUCAUUUCAUCACGAAACAUCCUCAAAACUUAAGCAAAACCUACAAAUAACCGUGUGGAUCGGAAAACCAUGCCCCACACCCUGCCAUUCAGACAGACAGGGGUUUAAAGUAAAACCCGUCAAAUGCAAAAUCCAAAAGUACUUUACUCUUGCGGUCCUCCAAGCCAAACAGGACAUUAAAGUUUCAGAAUUUCCAUCUGCUGAACCUGAGUCAUAUUUUGACAAAAAAAAAAAAAAAAGAACCUGAGUCAUAAGACAUAUUUAAUCUCAGCCAUCGGAUCUCUGACAUAAAAUCUUGAUCUGUCCAAAACAAACAGCUAAAAAAUAAAUUCAAAGCCAAAUUGGUUCCCCCUCGUCCUGCCUUCUCUCUUGCACACCCCUCACCUCCUUUCAGCAGAGCAGAGCAGAGCGGACCCCUUCACUCUAUCAGACGUUUCAGUCACCUCGAAAUAGUCACCUUCAUUUUCUUCAGUUCUAUGCUUUUGGGGGCUCAUGUGUCAUCCCAAGAUUGAAACUUUUGGGUUGAAUAAAAUGAAAUUAAUAAAGGGCCAAUCUUUUCUUCUUCUUCUUUUACUAAUUUCUGCUGUUUCAGCUGCUGGUGCUGCUGCUGCUGAAGGUUAGUGUCUUUCCUUCUUCCUACGUUAGUUCCACUGUAUUUUUUUUCCCUAGUCUUUCAUCUUUUCCAUCUCUCGGCUCAUUUUUUGCAUUUUUUUGGCUGAAAAACUAACUCUUUACUUGGUAUUGAUUGCUUCAUGCAUUACUCUAGUGGUGGUCUUCAGCUUGUAUUUUUUCCGGGCUGUUUUGUUUUAGCUAAUUUCAAGCUGGGAUAGUUUCUUUUUCAUUUUGUUUUCACGUUGCAGUUUUAGUUUUUUCAGUAGCAAUAUUAUGCUGUUCUAGUUUUAGUUUUUUUUUUUCCCUGUGCGCAAUAUGCUUGUAUGCGGGAGUGAGACCCUUUACCAAAAGGAUGUGUCUUGGUUAAGGUAAAGGUGUUAGGAAUAUAGCGUAAAGUUGAGAAGAAAGAUUUUAUAUCAGCUAGAAAAAAGUGCAAAAGUUGAUUAGCGUAAGCUUUGAAUUUUGUUUGAGGUAAGCAAUUCUAUUAAGCAUUUUUCUUGACAAAGUGGCUGUUUCUACGCUGAAAAUAGGGACUUUUCUAGAGAAAGAGAGAAUCUUUUCUUUGUUCUUCCCAAAGUAGGGUCUUUUCUGUGGAUUUUUUUUUAAAAAAUUUUUGGUGAAGCCCUCAAUCUGACGUGGACCAUCUACAGAACCUAAGCUAUUGCGGCCCAGCUCAUGUAGGUUUUUCUUUAAGAUACUCCUGCUGCCACAGAAAAAGAAAAAGUUAUAUUGGAGGACGAUUUCUUCCAUUAAGUUCCAACAAAUUUUUUAAAGAAUGUCAUUUUCUUGCUUGAUGUUUAACAUGUCGACAUGUGACAAGCUGACAAUGUUGUGAUGCAAUAUUUUAUAUUAUAUGUGCCCAUCAUUUAUCUGACAGUUUUUCCAUGCAUGUACUUCUUCCUAUGCUUGUUUAGAUCUUACAGAAGGUGCUUUGAAAAAUUUUCUAGUCUUUAAAUAUCCAUGGAGUAAUAUUAUUACAGUAAGAAUCUACUCUGGCUUUUUAUAGAAGCUACUUUUUCUUCCGCGAGAAAUUUGAUUCCUAAAAAAUUUUCAGCAGUAGCAUGCUGGACCAAUAUUCUUGCAGAGAGGCUUUGUAUCAAUUAGUUAGCAUUGUCUGUUUCCUAUCGAUUAUGACCUCUGGUGGUGUGGAAGGCCAUUGUGGGCUCCUAUAAGAGAGAACAUGUGGCAGUGGCAUAUAUUUGAAGCUUUGACCUAAUUGUAAAAGCAUACCUGUUGGAGAAACAAGUGAUUAAUGAAAAAGAGAAGUUGACAAAUAAAAGAACAAGAUAACAUAUCUUUGUAGGUAUAAGUUUAGCAAUUUGAAUAACCAGCAACAUUUUGCAAUUUAUGAUAAUGACAAUUGAAUACAGGGAUUAAAGAUACAUAUUUCCUUGUGUCCUUAUCUACUUCCUUAUGGCCCUGUUUUUGUUACAAAAUCUUAUAGUGAAUACAUAUCCGAAAUCUUGAAGGCGAUGGGGCUAUCGCUGCCCACCAAUCUUGUUUGUGCUUUGUAGUAUAGCUAAUUUUGAGUGUCCUUACCCAGCAAAAAUUGGUAGUUUGUUCCAUAUUGAUUUAGAGAUGAACUCUUCUAUUGUUAUCUAUCAUAUUUGUAAUCAAGACUAUUGAGUAGCUGGACUACAAAAUUGCUUGAACUUGAGGAGGAUCUUUGAUGUCAUUGGUUUAGCAAAUGAAAAAACCACAAUUGGUUUCAACUAUAGUUUCCGUAAAGACUGCGUGAUACCUUACAUUUAAGAUGAUUACGAUGGAAGUAAUAGCCCUUUGGUUUGUUGCCUUGAUUUAAUUUAUACAUUUAAUUUCUCACAAUCUUUUUCUCUUCUUGCUCUUGAUUCUGCCCUGCAACUCAUUGUGCCCCUUCACCAGCAGAUUCAGUUAAUAGAGGCCCUAGUGCUAUGAACCCAAAACCAAUAAUGCUAUCUGAUGCUGAUGGCUGAUUGUUUGCUAAAUUUCAUUUACUUCAUUUUUUGCCAGGGGUCUUUUUAGAAUUUUAGAAUGAUAGGAUGCAAUAAUGAUGCAAGAGGCAACUAAUUUAAAGUGACUGGUUCUUAUGAGGGGCUUUGCUGAGUCAAUGAUCAUUUGUGUCUCCCUAAACAGUCAUGAAUCAGGUGCUUUAUAUAGCAGAUUGAUUGUUCUUGUAUAUGAAGCAGAAAAACUUGCUCCGAUUUCCUGAAUUUCAAAUUUUUGAAUUAUAUUAACUAUGCGGUCUAAGAUGGUAUUUGGUUUCAAUUCUUUAUGACACUCAUGUUCGUUGGAGUUCCUCUGAGAAUUAGAAUAAUUUAUGCUCCAACUCUUGCUCAGCCAAUGCCUUUGCUAAACAUCUUAUUGUUUUUUGGGUCCUUGUCCUCCAGAUGGUUUCAUUGGUGUAAAUAUAGGUACAGACCUGUCUGACAUGCCUGACCCAACUCAGGUUGUGGCCCUUCUCAAGGCUCAGCAAAUCCGGCAUGUCAGGUUGUAUGAUGCUGACAGAGCUAUGUUACUCGCACUUGCUAAUACUGGAAUUCGUGUAACUGUAUCAGUACCAAAUGAUCAACUGUUGGGAAUUGGACAGUCAAAUGCCACAGCAGCCAAUUGGGUUUCCCGAAAUGUUAUUGCCCAUAUUCCUGCAACCAACAUCACUGCUAUAGCUGUUGGAUCUGAAGUUCUGACAACCCUUCCAAAUGCUGCCCCAGUCCUGGUUGCUGCAAUGAAUUUCAUCCAGUCUGCCCUAGUUGCUUCUAAUCUUGCUUCCCAGAUAAAAGUAUCCACCCCGCACUCUUCUUCCAUUAUUCUUGAUUCAUUCCCACCUUCUCAAGCAUUUUUCAACCGCACCUUGGAGCCAGUCAUGGUUCCCUUGCUCAAGUUUUUGCAGUCUACUGGCUCCUUCCUUAUGCUCAACGUUUACCCAUAUUAUGAUUAUGUACAAUCAAAUGGUGCGAUCCCGUUAGACUAUGCUUUGUUUCGUCCUCUUCCACCGACCAAGGAAGCUGUUGACCGUAACACUCUUCUGCAUUAUACUAAUGUUUUUGAUGCAGUAGUGGAUGCAGCAUAUUUUGCCAUGUCCUAUCUGAACUUCACCAAUAUUCCCAUAAUAAUCACUGAAUCUGGUUGGCCUUCAAAGGGUGACUCUUCUGAGCCAGAUGCCACUCUAGAUAAUGCUAAUACUUACAAUAGUAACCUUAUCAGGCAUGUUCUUAACAACACAGGGACUCCAAAACACCCUGGGAUUGCACUGAGCACCUACAUCUAUGAGCUAUACAAUGAAGAUCUGAGACCAGGGUCUAUUUCAGAGAAGAACUGGGGACUUUUUAAUGCCAAUGGUGUACCUGUUUAUAUCCUACACUUGACAGGUUCUGGGACUGUUCUUGCAAAUGACACCACGAAUCAGACUUACUGUGUUGCAAAGGAAGGAGCUGAUAAGAAGUUGCUGCAAGCAGCCCUCGAUUGGGCUUGUGGCCCUGGAAAAGUGGAUUGCAAUCCGUUAAUGCAAGGAAAUCCAUGUUAUGAUCCGGAUACUGUGGUAGCACAUGCAUCAUAUGCUUUUGAUGCCUAUUAUCACAAGAUGGGUAUGACAGAUGGAACCUGUGACUUCAAUGGGGUUGCUACCGUCACAACCUCGGAUCCCAGUAAGUAAUAAAUAUAUUGUUAUGCAUUGACUUGGUUUACCAAGAGACUUUUGACGCUUUGUUAUCUUAGUUACUGAGAUUGUGAGGUGCCACAAAGAAACAACUAAAAAAAAUUAAUCAAUAGCUAUGAAAUGGCAUUUCAAGGGGAGAUUUCUUUUCUUCUCCCUGAAAACACAGAUGCAAAUGGAGUAAAAGUCGUACUUUUUCUUUGAUUGGGAGUUCUUGGCUUUGCAUUUUAUGCAUACCUUCAUCUGAAUUAAGGUUUUUGCAUAAUCAGCUAUUGGACGACUCUAAUCCGCAGCUUGGAGAAGUUAGUGAAGUCAAUGGUGAAUGUAUUUACUGAGUACAAAGACGAAGAAAGAAAACAUACCAAGACUGAUUUCUUUAACUUUAAAUAAAGAAUCUUGUAGUUAAAUGUUCUAUGCACUCGUGUAGAUUAAAUGCUUAUACUCCUUGCUUGUAACAUCAUUUGUUGCAUUAUCAAAUACUAAUGUUCGUUCUGCUUGUGCAGGUCAUAAUUCAUGUAUAUUUCCAGGAAGGUAUGAAGCAUUGAGUUUGUAACUAUGGUUUUUGAGUUAGUCUACUAUCUCUGUAUUGCCAUCCAUAUUCUGUUAUUUAUGUGCAAAAGCUUCAUCUGAGAGUUUGUGUUUUCUUCUUGGUUUGUUAUGAAGUGGUGGGAGGAAUAGGACCACCACAAAUGGCACCUCUCUAGCUCCAUCGUCGAACUCCACGGUAUCUGGCUGCCAUUCACAAUAUUUAAACGAGAAAGGUGUCCUUUUUAACUCCAUAACACUUGGUCUUAUGCUCUGGGGUGUUGCUUUCUUGUAAAACAUUGAUCUCUUACUUUUUGCUGCUUUUGAACUACGUUGACACUUGAGAAACCUUUGGGUGGAAAACUGCUACAACUUCUGCCACACCCAAUUUUGGUCCUCUGAAUUGAGCUAGGGUUGGCAUUGGGAUCUGCUUGGAUUAUAUAGCUGGGCAAGUUGCUUUGAGGUGAGUGGUACAUUAACAUGUACAAAGAAGGCUUUGGGAUUAUUUCGAACCAUUGAUGUAAUUAGGUUAGAUUAGAGUCAAUUUGUACUCAAGGAUUGUAUUCUUUUAACCUGAAAAUGAAUUUGCCAUAGAGUUGUCUCGACUCUUCAUAUUGUCAUGUAUCAUCUUUUCUUUUUUAUUGGGCAGAAAGGUUGGUAGAAGUAAAUGACAUUGAGAUGUCUCCUUUGCUGCAAAUUGUUUCGAGUGGUCAAGUUUAUAAUGGCACUUGUUGGAUUUGAUCUUUCUUUGUUUCGUAGUUGUUAAUUUUACUCUUAAAUUGCAUUGAGGUGACGAAUUUUUACAAUAAGCAAUGGGAAUGUUGCAUCAGUGGUAAAUAUAACCAUUAUAUGAAACUAACGACUUUUUGCUAGAGAAUUCAAAGUCUGUGGAGGUAUUAUGCAGUAGAUGUAAUGCUUAUAAUCAACCAAACAAAUGAGUGGGAGUUCUCAGAUGCAAGUCUAAUCCAUAACAGUUAACACAUUUCAUCUCAUUGCUAAAAGUUCUAGUGCCCUUGUGAUGAUUAAUUCUCUAUAAAUCUUGCAUGACAAUCUAUACAUACAAAUCCUGAAGAGCCUACUAGGCUGCACUUUUGAUCUGCAUGUUGGCUACAGUAAGGUUUGUUGCAAAAACUACAUUUUGGUAGCUGAAGCCAGCAGCCUAGACAUAAUGCAUCCACACAAGCUGCCUCUACUGGAUCUUCAUCUUUGAUACAUAUGCCACAUUCUUCACACCUUGGGAUGCAGUGUUGGCAGCCCCUGCACUCAAGCUUCUGCUGCUGCCUCAUACUUUUGCAAGAAUCUCUAGGGCAGUCAAAAACCACUCUUGCUUCUUUACAUUUUGGGCAUAUUUCCACAUCAAUAGGAGGGUUUGAAUGUUUAAAU